rnacentral:rRNA from 1 species
UGGGGAAUUUUGGACAAUGGGCGAAAGCCUGAUCCAGCAAUGCCGCGUGUGUGAAGAAGGCCUUCGGGUUGUAAAGCACUUUUGUCCGGAAAGAAAUCCUUGGCUCUAAUACAGUCGGGGGAUGACGGUACCGGAAGAAUAGGCACCGGCUAACUACGUGCCAGCAGCCGCGGUAAUACGUAGGGUGCAAGCGUUAAUCGGAAUUACUGGGCGUAAAGCGUGCGCAGGCGGUUUGCUAAGACCGAUGUGAAAUCCCCGGGCUCAACCUGGGAACUGCAUUGGUGACUGGCAGGCUAGAGUAUGGCAGAGGGGGGUAGAAUUCCACGUGUAGCAGUGAAAUGCGUAGAGAUGUGGAGGAAUACCGAUGGCGAAGGCAGCCCCCUGGGCCAAUACUGACGCUCAUGCACGAAAGCGUGGGGAGCAAACAGGAUUAGAUACCCUGGUAGUCCACGCCCUAAACGAUGUCAACUAGUUGUUGGGGAUUCAUUUCCUUAGUAACGUAGCUAACGCGUGAAGUUGACCGCCUGGGGAGUACGGUCGCAAGAUUAAAACUCAAAGGAAUUGACGGGGUCAUAGCUGUUUCCU